rnacentral:lncRNA from 1 species
CUAAUGCUUUAUGAUUUUUUUAAUGCUUAAAUUCAUGUAUCUUUUAUCUCCCCUGUAAAAAGUGUAUAUAUUGAGAUCAAUAUCCCCGUCCUGUCAUUGUUCACAUUAUUUUGGGGAGUUUUGUCCUUAUUAUUUUAAAUAUCCUUUAACCUUCUUUGAUGUAGAAAGUAAAAACCCCUGUUUUACAUUAUGAAUUUUUAUUCAGAUUAACACGUGUUGUUUUUAUAGUUGUAAUAAUUAUGCCUUAAUUUGUUUCCCAAAUAUAUAUACAUAUAUAUAUGUAUACACACACAUACACGGUCAGAGUAUUCCUUGUAUCAAAAUCAAAGGAUUUUCUUUUUGUUAUUCUCCAUCAAUAGUUAAAAAUCAUGUUAGAUUUUUUUCCCCCUUGUUUUUCUGGCAGUGGGGUGGUGGUCCAAACUUUGGGCUCAGUUCUGUGCAUUUGAACACAGGGCGUCCAAGCAGGGACAGUGUCCUCGUGGGCUGGGGUGCCGCUCCCUCUCGGUGCAGCUUCAUGUACUUAGGUCGUCAUUCAAGGAAAUUGUUGGUUUCUCUUCUGUUUUCUUUUGUCUGUAUUUAAUCAUUUUUAUAGUUAUUUUCUUUUUCUUCUAAUGGAGUUUUUAAAGAAAAUAUUUGGUCUGCAUCCCAUUGUGAGAAAUAAAGCCUCAUUCUGUGUUUUGUUAGGGAAUUUUAACUAAAUUCACAUUUUUUUUUAUUAUAUGUAAUGUAAGAACUUUAUGGAAAAGAAUUUUAAAAGUAAAUUUUAGCAAGUAAUAUUUUAAUUCACUAAUUUAUAAAACAUUGAUCAUUAUUCUUCCUUUCAGAAACAGUGGGAGCCCAGAGUGUAUGAAAUGUCUGCAGAAACUCAUCUAACUCUCUUACAUAGUCAGCACAGUAAAAAAAAAAAAAAAAAAAGACACUAAAUAAACAUUUGUUUUGGUCUGUAUAAAAUGUAAAUUAGUUUGACACUGCAUUUUUGAUGGGUGUGCUAAUUUCUGCCCAUGGCAGUUUAAAACAUUAGAGUCUGAAUCCUGGACAGAUUCAAACCUUGACACACUGUGGGAUUUUUCUUUUGCUUUUAUUUUUCUUAUGAUCUUGACCCCUAACCCUCAUUGUGACAUUUGGUGUGUUAACUUUAAAUGUAGUUUUAAAUAAAGUUUGAACUUAUCUGUAAAGU